UGUUAAUAAAUAAUGAUCAUAAGAACAAGUUCAUCGAUACUAUACAGGCUUUUUGUGAAAAUAUGUUUAAAACAUAAAUAACUUUUUUUAUUUCCUACAGUCCGAUGCUAAAUUUUUUUUAUAUAAAUUAGCUUCUGUUCCUACUUCCAACUCUCCUCCCUAGCCUGAGGCCAGAGACACAAUUUUAGUUAUUCUUAUAUUCAGGGUCAUGGCCCAGGGCCGUAAUAAGAAUAUACAACAUGUACAAGUUAAUAAUUGACUUUUCUGUGAGCUUGAAUACAUAACUAAAUCUCGACAAAACAAACAAAAGUUCCAACCUGUUUCAAAAACAUCAAACAUUAACUAUUAACCACACUUUAAAUUCAAAUAUUGUGAUUAAAAAAAUGGAUAAACCCUCGCAAAGAGAAUUAUAUUUUUUUCACAAUAAUAUGGUCUGCUUAGUAAAAUCUUUGGAAAAUCAUUAUACAGUUGUAGACUUAAGGAACGAAGAUAGUGUCUACGGAAAAAUUUUAAAUGUCGAUGGUUAUAUGAAUAUAGAGUUUGAAAAUGCUAUUUAUUGUGAUUCAAGAGGUAUUAAAUAUCCAUUUGAAAUGUUUUUUGUACAAGCUAGAAAUAUUCGCUAUGUUCACAUCCCUAAAAAUUUUGAUGCAGUUAAUCUAGUUCAAGAGCAGUUAAAGAGCAUACAAAAGCAAAAGUCUACACAACGACCAACUAGGACCUUUAAAACUCGUAGAGCAGAAAAAUAUCAAAAAGAUAUUCUUCAGGGACUUGCACAAGCAAGUAACAGUAAACAGUGUUGAACUUCUUUGUAUGGACAUUAUAUA
rnacentral:lncRNA from 1 species